UGGCUCAGGAUGAACGCUGGCGGCGUGCUUAACACAUGCAAGUCGAACGAUGAAGCCCAGCUUGCUGGGUGGAUUAGUGGCGAACGGGUGAGUAACACGUGAGUAACCUGCCCUUAACUCUGGGAUAAGCCUGGGAAACUGGGUCUAAUACCGGAUAGGAGCGUCCACCGCAUGGUGGGUGUUGGAAAGAUUUAUCGGUUUUGGAUGGACUCGCGGCCUAUCAGCUUGUUGGUGAGGUAAUGGCUCACCAAGGCGACGACGGGUAGCCGGCCUGAGAGGGUGACCGGCCACACUGGGACUGAGACACGGCCCAGACUCCUACGGGAGGCAGCAGUGGGGAAUAUUGCACAAUGGGCGCAAGCCUGAUGCAGCGACGCCGCGUGAGGGAUGACGGCCUUCGGGUUGUAAACCUCUUUCAGUAGGGAAGAAGCGAAAGUGACGGUACCUACAGAAGAAGCACCGGCUAACUACGUGCCAGCAGCCGCGGUAAUACGUAGGGUGCGAGCGUUAUCCGGAAUUAUUGGGCGUAAAGAGCUCGUAGGCGGUUUGUCGCGUCUGUCGUGAAAGUCCGGGGCUUAACCCCGGAUCUGCGGUGGGUACGGGCAGACUAGAGUGCAGUAGGGGAGACUGGAAUUCCUGGUGUAGCGGUGGAAUGCGCAGAUAUCAGGAGGAACACCGAUGGCGAAGGCAGGUCUCUGGGCUGUAACUGACGCUGAGGAGCGAAAGCAUGGGGAGCGAACAGGAUUAGAUACCCUGGUAGUCCAUGCCGUAAACGUUGGGCACUAGGUGUGGGGACCAUUCCACGGUUUCCGCGCCGCAGCUAACGCAUUAAGU
rnacentral:rRNA from 1 species